CAUUGCAAGAUCGGGGCUCUUCAAUGCUCUCUUGGGAAUGCAAGUCAGCACAAUAGCAGAAUCACUCUGCAGAGUGUUGAAAUUGCCACCCUAACUAAGGAAAUCCAAAGGAAAAUAAGGCCUGAAUAAGAACCUGGAAUCCUCCUGCUCUGAGCUGGAUCAAGGACCAAAGGGAAACCUACUGGUUGUGAGUGCUUCUGUUUCACUGACUCUUGAUCACCAGCCACUGGGUCUGCUUCUACCAGCAAUUUAUGGCUCCUGCAGCUUCUCUGAGAACAGAUCUGGCUGAAAGCAGCCAGGAGUGUCCGUGCUACAUUCUGAACAUGGAGCUGUCUUGAAAUCUCUUCCACCAGAUCAAUUAGUCCACCACCUGCAAAUCAGCACUCAGAAGGCUGAGACAGGAGGAUCAUGAUUAUGAAGCCAGACCAACUUACGUAGAAAGAGGGGUUCAAUCUAGAGUUGGCUGGCUCCAAGGCAGUACUAGCAUGGCAGAAGGGCAUGGUGGACAAAAGUUGUUUAUAUCAUGGAAGCUGGGAAGCAGAAAGAAACAAGAGGAUCCAGGAACAAGAGCACACCUUCCAGAGCCAGAGAUUUAGCUCAGUGAUUCUGUCACCUGCCUCGCAAGCUCAAGGUCCCAAGUUUGAUCCCUGGUACCCCCCCC
rnacentral:lncRNA from 1 species